ACGUAUAUUACCCUGUGGACACCGUGCGCACCCCAUCCGCAGUGUGUCCACAAAGAGCCGUUUCAGCAUCCCUUUUCGCCCUUCACACUCCAACUCGUUCUUCUCUCCCGGUCUGUCGUCUGACUGCGUCGCCGCCUAGAGCAGAAAUCUGCGCAGAAGGCUUAUUUUUUCCGCAACGCGCAGAAGAGAGAGUCACGUGAUGCCAUAGCCUGUUGUGCGGAUGAUUUCAAACGCCGCUGGAGACGCUGGAGAAACAUGGCGGCGUCUGGAAUGACUCGGAGUAAUACGGUAAUUUUCAACGCGAACAGCACCAGUACAACUUGAAUUUUGUGAAGAGUUAGGAGCAUAUGCCUUGUACGUAACGGAUUCUCCAUCGGGGGCCAAUGUCUAUGACCCAAAUGCAGGCAUAAAGGGCUAUACCGCUUAGCAUCGGUCAUUCAUUGCUGCGUGCGUCUCAGCGUCUCACAGAGAGUGUGGAGUGUUUUCUCUAUGAGCAGUCUUGGAAUUAUUUACUGUCUUAUGCGUUACAGUGUGCCUCGGUGGCAGAACUUGGCCAAUGAGUUACAGAGGCCGGAAGACACAGAAAGGAACAAUAUCAAGACACCGGUAGCCAUUCACAAGACGUGAAGGAGCGUGAGGAUACAGUUGCGUCGGUUUCAUGCAAGAUGCCAACUAAUUAUACGGCGAGUAACAUGGAUGUUUUUUUUUCUUUUCUAGAUA